UCCCCUAGUAACUGCGAGUGAAGCGGGUAUGAGCUCAAAUUUUGAAUCUGGCGGCUUCGUCGGNCGUCCGAGUUGUAAUCUAGAGAAGCGUCUUCCGCGCUGGACCGUGUACAAGUCUCCUGGAACGGAGCGUCGCAGAGGGUGAGAAUCCCGUCUAUGACACGGACUGCCAGGGCCUCGUGCGAUGCGCUCUCGACGAGUCGAGUUGUUUGGGAAUGCAGCUCAAAUCGGGUGGUAAAUUCCAUCUAAAGCUAAAUACGGGCGAGAGACCGAUAGCGAACAAGUACCGUGAGGGAAAGAUGAAAAGAACUUUGGAAAGAGAGUUAAACAGUACGUGAAAUUGCUGAAAGGGAAACGCUCCGAGUCAGUCGCGUCAGCCGGGGAUCAGUCCUGCGGGCGAUCUCGCUCGCGGAGGCGCAUUCCUCGGUCGACGGGUCAGCGUCGGUUUUGGCCGUCGCACAAGGGUCGGGGCGCAUGUGGCAUCCCCAGGGGUGUGUUAUAGCCCCCGAUCGCAUGCGGCGAUUGGGACCGAGGAUCGCAGCGCGGGUCUCCCUUCGCGGGGAGGCCGCGAGGCCCCCACGGGGGCCUACGACCGCGCGCUUAGGACGCUGGCAUAAUGUCUCCGAGCGACCCGUCUUGAAACACGGACCAAGGAGUCUAACGCGCGCGCGAGUGUUCGGGUGCUUCAAACCCGAGCGCGCAGCGAAAACGAAAGUCGAGACCUCCGUCGCGGAGGGCACCGACGCCCGGACCCAAGCCUUGCGCGAGGGAUCUGCGGUCGAGCGCGUGCGUUGGGACCCGAAAGAUGGUGAACUAUGCCUGAAUAGGGCGAAGCCAGAGGAAACUCUGGUGGAGGCUCGCAGCGAUUCUGACGUGCAAAUCGAUCGUCGAA
rnacentral:rRNA from 1 species